AGUUGGGCAUUCGUACCGCACCAAACGUCAAGUCUUGUUUGCAUGGGAGGAAUUAAAUAUCAUUUGCCUUGAUACGUACAUAUUUAUAGCUAAUCAAAGGGUUUCUCUCUUCACCAUGUUAGAGUCAUGAAGAUGUUAAACUGGAACAAGAACGUGAAGACCUUUUCUUGUGUUUCAAAUGUUUUAUAGGUUGAAUAUAUGAUGGAAAUAAAAAUUAUAUAAAUUAAAUAAAAGUUAGUUUAAGCUAUAAA